rnacentral:tRNA from 1 species
AGGGGCGUAGUUAAAUGGUAUAACUGAAGUCUCCAAAACUUUAAUUGGGGGUUCGAUUCCCUCCGCCCCUG